CGGCCACGGCCUCCGACCACCAGCCACGCUUCGCCGCUAACCCCCUCGCGGCGGCUUCCAUUCGGUCCCUGCCCUCCACGCCAUUCUCUUCCUGACCUCGCCUUCAAGUUCAUGUCCCCGUCGUCGCCCAUGGGCCUGCUCCAUCGGCCCGCCUCACCCUCGGCCACGGCCUCCAACCGUCGGCCCUGUUUCACCGCCGACUGCACGCCCUGCCCUGUGCCGGCUCUUGCCCUCCCCUGACUCGUCGGCCCCGUUUCGCCGCCGACCGCACACGCUACCGUGCGCCGGCUCCUGCCCUCUCCUAACUUGGUCGGCACCAACUUUGCAACUUACAGGUGAUUUGUCCAAGGAGAUGGAUUUACUGAGCAGUGGUACAUCUUUUGAAGAGGCUGUCAAACCACGGAAGUGGCUUAAUCCAACGGAUUGGGGGAGGAGAGCCUGGUGCCGUUCGAGAUUGGGGCCUCAUGAGGUAAAUUCAGAAGCAAGGAUGGCGACGACGAUGACCCCGACGACAUCGUCCCCAUGGACACCCAAGGUCACUGGAGUGGAGUGGGUGACAUACCAAGCACAAAGCAACUAGACUUUCUCAUCCGAACCAUCAUGUGACCUCCAUAGACCACUGGCGUCAAAGAUGAAGCAAGAUAAUGUCAUUUCACUUGUCUCUACGACCAUGGCACAACCUGGCAUGGUGUUUCAUUUAAUAGGUCACUGGAGUGGAGUGGGUGACAUACCAAGCACAAAGCAAAGGCAUAUGUAGGGUGAUGAUGAUGCCGUAGUGAUGGGCCUUGAGGUAGAGCACGGAGGCAGUAACGUAGCGGAGUGCAACAAGCAGUAGCUAGACAAUAUAGGCAUUGACCAAGUAGAGGUUAAUACAGACACCAACAGCUCCGGGCCAGGACCAUGUUGUGUACCUCAAUAUGGUCAUGACUUGGAGUUCUGCAGUGAGGAUCAUGUGGAGUGUCCAGUGCCUGAUGGAUGAAGGCUAACAUUGGAGUUUCACAGUGAGUAGUUUUGCGGAGAGCUCUGGCUGGAGAUCUGACAUGAUAGAUGAGAUGAGAGAGUCAGCUUCGCUUGGUGGUCAAGUUGCCUGUGAUGGGGAAGGGGAAGAGUAAGACGCCUUCCUGAGAUGGUUGGGUCACGAUGAAUGCGAUGGCUGAUGGUUGGAUCAUGAUGGAUGGAUUCCAACUUGAGGGACUUGGAUUAAAUUAGACUCUUAAGCACAUUGAGAUAUGUUUGGACUGGAUGGUGGACUUUCUGUAGUAGGAUUAUAAUUGGAUUCCUUUGUUAGGAUUUGGAUUUUGGUCCAAUCCCCCCUAAUAAGCUGAAGAUCAUGCUUGCUGUGGAGCCUUUGAUACCAUCAGAGGGACCAAAGAUUGGAGAGCACAUUUCGGUUACACGGAAUGGAAAAUGUGCAUAUAUGGUGCUGAUUGCAGUGAGAUUAGCCUCGUCCAAGUUAGGGGAUCUGCCAUGAACUAGACAAGAUUAGAAGUUUAAAGAGGCCUUACAUCAAGAGAGUACAAGAUCGCCAUAAGGAAGUACAAGUCUUUGAGGAAAGUGACCUUAUGAGAAGCUUGAGAAAAAUCAACUUGAAAGUGACCUUCAUGAUGAUACAAUAAAUUGUCUCAAACGCAACACUAUUGAAAUGGAGGGAUACAUUCGCCCUCUUGACGUAGUCAUAAUUGUGUUGCAGACCAGCAUUCUGAUGGUGUUGCAGAUGAUCAUCCCAGCGAUUCCUUAUUCUCUCCAACAUACCAUCAUCACAAGGUGGUGUCUGUUUUUUAUUCAACAGGAGGUCUACGUGGCGGUGUCUAUAGGUCUCGAUGUCAAGCCUGGUUCCACUGUUAAGUGUGAGCCUGGAUAUGGUUUUAUGCUGCACCUUUCCCAGGCUGCUCUUGAGGAAUCGAAGAAUAGUGAUAAUGCGCUAUUGCCUUGAUGUAUGUCAAAAUUGAUGAUCAAAAACUUGCCAUUGGAAUCCUCUCUGUUGACAAGAACCCACACAUACAAUUUGAUCUGGUUUUCGAUAAAGAGUUUGAGCUGUCGCACACAUCAAAAACUACCAUCGUCUUCUUCACUGGCUACAAGGUUGAGCAACCAUUCAAGGAAGAUGGAAUGGAUCUUGAUUCUGAAGAUGAAGACGAGGAGCUGAAUGUUCCAGUAGUCAAGGAAAAUGCGAACCACACGGGAAAAGCUGAUGGGAAGAAACAGAAAAGUCAAGAAAAGGCAGUUCCUGCAGCUUCAAAAUCAAGUCCGGCUUCCAAGAAGAGCAAGGAUGACGAUGAUUCUGAUGAGGACGAGACUGAUGAUUCUAACGAGGACGAGACAGACGAUUCUGAUGAGGGUGAGGGUUUGUCUCCUGAAGAAGGCGAUGAUGAUGAUUCAAGUGAUGAAGAUGAUACCAGUGACGAUGAGGAGGAAGACACUUCAACUCCUAAGAAGCAUGAGGCAGGCAAGAAGAGAGCUGCUGAAAGUUUCGUGCUGAAAACUCCUCUAUCUGAUAAGAAAGCAAAAGUUGCCACGCCGUCAGCUCAGAAGACAGGUGUGCCAUUGAACGGACUAACAAAACUGUCGUCGAAGAUUGUAUAGGUGUGACUCUGUUCAAGGAUAGUCUUGAGGUUCUAGAACAGAAGAGUAGUGGUGUGCAUCAGUGUAUCUGUUUACAGGAUAAUAGUGGUUGGUUAGGUGUGUGCAGAAAAAGUUUAGCGUUAUGGUUUGUAUGUGAUACAUAUUAACUGUGCCUUGGAAUGUUCAUGUGUUGUCCUGAUUUCGUGUGAUAUCUCUUGUUCAGUUCAAGU